AAAAUGUUGCGCAUAUGGAGAUGAUGGAGCAGCUACCACAGGCUAUGAUUGCGUUAUCAUUCCUGGAGCUUUGAAAUCAGGACAAACCCAAGAGUUCGCAGGAAAUUCCCAAAUCUGCGGAAGAAAGCUUAUUACAACCACAACAGCUAAAGAUGCCAACAAGACUGUUUGCACCAAGCAAAGGCCUUUCCACAUCACUUUUCGGUCCGACAAUUUUGAAUUUAUGAUGGAAUCUAAGGAGAUGAUUAAUGAGGGAUUCCGUUUGGCAUACACUCAAAAAAGUUGCUAAUGUACCACUUUAAACUAAAGAGUGUCUUUCCACUUUUCAAGUGAUUUAGUUAUGUUCUUCAAUUUUUUUAAAGCCUGUUUGAUAAGAAAUAAAGCACAAUUUAAUAAAUGCA